UGACCUAAUUAUUUGAUUCAGGUGUGUUGAAGCAGAGGAACAUCUAAAAGUUGCAGGUUGCCGGCCCUGGAGGACUGGAGUUUGACACCUGUGCUGUAGAAGGCAACUGAGGGAGGGUGACGAAUUGCACUGAUGACCAGGGAGUCUAAAGAGCUCUUCCAUAUUUCUGCCCACGGUCUUCUGGUGGAAGCCAACAUUCCUCAAAGUGAAAGAAACUUCUCCUGGAAGAUGUUGUCAGGACGACUGUGUUUCUAUUGGUGACUGUGGAGGUGCCGUAGCAACCACAGACUUCGGUCCAUUUAGGUUCAUUAAGUGUUCGGGUCGAUGAAGUCAAGGAGUUGGUGAAAAGCUCCAGGGGGCUUUAUAAAAAGUCUGCUGGGUCGGAUCAGAUCUCAGUUAAGAGUUUAAACAUCAGAGAAGCUGUCUUCACUCAGAGAGAGGAAAUAAAUUAAAAGUAACAUUCUCAAACGGCAUGUGCAGUUGGUUACAAGAAUGUAAAAGUGAAGGCAUAGCAAAAGAAACUUGGUAAUA